AGGACUUGUGUGUUUGCCCAACUGGUGGACAAAGGCAUGAAAGACAGGUGUAAAAAAAAAAUCUCCUUUUGCAACCCUGAACUUGUUGUUCAGUAGGGUUUUGAUGCACACACACAUGAAAAGAUGAU
ensembl:snoRNA